GAUCAUGGCUCAGGAUGAACGCUAGCUACAGGCCUAACACAUGCAAGUCGAACGGUAACAGGAAGCAGCUUGCUGCUUUGCUGACGAGUGGCGGACGGGUGAGUAAUGUCUGGGAAACUGCCUGAUGGAGGGGGAUAACUACUGGAAACGGUAGCUAAUACCGCAUAACGUCGCAAGACCAAAGAGGGGGGACCUUCGGGCCGUCUUGCCAUCGGAUGUGCCCAGAUGGGAUUAG
rnacentral:rRNA from 1 species